CCUACGGGCGGCAGCAGUGAGGAAUAUUGGUCAAUGGGCGCGAGCCUGAACCAGCCAAGUAGCGUGAAGGACGAAGGUGCUAAGCAUUGUAAACUUCUUUUGUCAAGGGACAAAAUCAGGCUCGAGAGCCUGACCGAGUGUAUUUGAAGAAAAAGUAUCGGCUAACUCCGUGCCAGCAGCCGCGGUAAUACGGAGGAUGCGAGCGUUAUCCGGAUUUAUUGGGUUUAAAGGGUGCGUAGGCGGGCUGUUAAGUCAGCGGUGAAAGUCUGUGGCUCAACCAUAGAAUUGCUGUUGAAACUGGGGGGCUUGAGUAUGUUUGAGGCAGGCGGAAUGCGUGGUGUAGCGGUGAAAUGCUUAGAUAUCACGCAGAACCCCGAUUGCGAAGGCAGCCUGCCAAGCCAUGACUGACGCUGAUGCACGAAAGCGUGGGGAUCAAACAGGAUUAGAUACCCCUGUAGUC
rnacentral:rRNA from 1 species